rnacentral:rRNA from 1 species
UACAGAGGGCUCAACCGUUGUUCGGAUUCAUUGGGCGUAAAGGGUGCGUAGGCGGUCGUGCAAGUCGGAUGUGAAAUCUCAGGGCUCAACCCUGAAACUGCAUUCGAUACUGCGUGGCUAGAGUGCUGGAGAGGAGACUGGAAUUUACGGUGUAGCAGUGAAAUGCGUAGAUAUCGAGAGGAACACCUGCGGCGAAGGCGGGUUGCUGGGCCGACACUGACGCUGAGGCGCGAAAGCUAGGGGAGCGAACGGG